GGAAUCUUCCACAAUGGACGAAAGUCUGAUGGAGCAACGCCGCGUGAGUGAAGAAGGGUUUCGGCUCGUAAAGCUCUGUUGUUAAAGAAGAACACGUAUGAGAGUAACUGUUCAUACGUUGACGGUAUUUAACCAGAAAGUCACGGCUAACUACGUGCCAG
rnacentral:rRNA from 1 species